rnacentral:lncRNA from 1 species
UUAAAUCUUGUUUAUUUUAAUUCUAAAAUAUGAUAGAAAUUUUAUAGAUUUGUUUCGUCAAUUAAAUUGUAUGAGUUUUAAAAAUUAAAACGAAUAUUUGACGUAUGUCUAGAGUUUCGGUUCUUUUAUUAUAUGUUGCAAUAUGGACAAUGAUUUUAUUUUUUUAGUUUCCAUUUGUCAAGUCAGUGUUACCACCGCCUUAUUCGUCUUUAUCGUAAUUUUAUGAAAAACGCUGAAUGAU